rnacentral:rRNA from 1 species
UACGGGGGGGGGCAAGCGUUGUUCGGAAUUACUGGGCGUAAAGGGCGCGUAGGCGGCCUACUAAGUCGGACGUGAAAUCCCUCGGCUCAACCGAGGAACUGCGUCCGAUACUGGCAGGCUGGAAUCCGGGAGAGGGAUGUGGAAUUCCAGGUGUAGCGGUGAAAUGCGUAGAUAUCUGGAGGAACACCGGUGGCGAAGGCGGCAUCCUGGACCGGCACUGACGCUGAGGAGCGAAAGCGUGGGUAGCAAACAGG